UCUCCCAGAAUUGCUGAUUUGUCCAAAUGGAGUGGUCCUGUACGCAGGUGUAGGCAAACUGGCUGACUCCAGGGGCAAGUUUCUUAUAAAAAGCACUCCUCAAAGG